AUCUCCAGUAGCUUCUCAGCUUUCUCCGGUUCCUGCAUCCCAUCCUUCCCGACAUCCAGAGUGCUCUGGGCAGAACUCUGACCUCUCCCGAGCUCAGCCAUUGCCUUGGCAAGCAGCACAGGGCUAAGGGUUAUGGACUUUUCCCGUCAGGACAGAGAAUCCAUCUUUAAAAUCAAACCACUCUUGUUCUUUUCUGAUCCUGCAGCCAACAAGAACUAAUUUGGGGAGGACAUGGAGACACUCAAAGCCCCUCUGAGGCAGUGUUUUCUCCACUUCUUCCACAGCAGGAGGAACAAAAGCUGCGUUUGGGAGCAAUCCUUGGCUGAUUUCAGUGAGAUCCUGAAGGAGCAGGAGAAUGAUCCCACCUGUGAGGGUGUGAAUUGCUUAGUGGGCUUUCCUUGCCUUUGGGAGCUUUGGAAUCUGUGAGCAGCCUGGAAGGGGUCUUUAAGCAGUUAUUAGCUGCUAAUUAAAUUAAUUUAAAUAAUUACAUAAAUUAAAAUAAUUUUAAUGGUGAAGAGGUUGCUCUUUCUUUAUGACCUUCAGCUUCUGGAAGGAGCCAUCAGGUUAAGGAGUCUUCAGUCCUGUAAUCACCACCGUGACUGUUACGAGACCACAUUUAAUGAUGACAGUGAGGUUUGGAAAAUGCAGGAUUUGCAUCAGAGCACCAAGAAGAGACAACAGGACUUGGGAGCCUUAGAAAUGCAUCCUCUGUCUGCACAGGAACCCCAUACUGCCAAAUAAAAACCACAGUCAGGUACACAGAGAAGACCAAGAGUACCAGAUGUUUAAUUCCACAUUUUCACAAGUUAAAGGAUCACAACGUAAGGACUGCGAGCAGACAGAAUCACCAGUUUCCUGUGAGGUUUAAUAAAUUAAAAAUAGUUCUAAUUUUAGUCUUUUUGUGGUACCUGAAGAGCUUACAAAAAACAACACCACAAUGCUUAAUAUUGCCUAUGAGUCUACUUACAGUUUGU